rnacentral:rRNA from 1 species
AUUGAACGCUGGCGGCAUGCUUUACACAUGCAAGUCGAACGGUAACAGGCCGCAAGGUGCUGACGAGUGGCGAACGGGUGAGUAAUGCAUCGGAACGUGCCCAGUCGUUGGGGAUAACUACUCGAAAGAGUAGCUAAUACCGCAUACGAUCUAUGGAUGAAAGCGGGGGACCGUAAGGCCUCGCGCGAUUGGAGCGGCCGAUGUUAGAUUAGGUAGUUGGUGGGGUAAAGGCUCACCAAGCCAACGAUCUGUAGCUGGUCUGAGAGGACAACCAGCCACACUGGGACUGGACCACGGCCCAGACUCCUACGGGAGGCAGCAGUGGGGAAUUUUGGACAAUGGGCGCAAGCCUGAUCCAGCAAUGCCGAGUGCAGGAAGAAGGCCUUCGGGUUGUAAACUGCUUUUGUACGGAACGAAACGGCUCUGGUUAAUACCCGGGGCUAAUGACGGUACCGUAAGAAUAAGCACCGGCUAACUACGUG